GGGUCAGUAGGUUGGUCGUGCCACCGGUACGUACCGGUCUCACCGAUUCCUCCUUCCUGAAGAACCGUAAUGCCAUUAAUUUGGUGUUGCGGGGAAACAGGACUGUUACUUUGAAAAAAUUAGAGUGUUUAAAGCAAGCUAACGCUUGAAUACAUUAGCAUGGAAUAAUGAAAUAGGACGAUCGAUCCUAUUUUGUUGGUUUCUAGGAUUGACGUA
rnacentral:rRNA from 1 species